rnacentral:rRNA from 1 species
GUUGAACGCUGGCGGCAUGCCUUACACAUGCAAGUCGAACGGCAGCACGGGAGCUUGCUCCUGGUGUCGAGUGGCGAACGGGUGAGUAAUGCAUCGGAACGUACCCGGAAGUGGGGGAUAACGUAGCGAAAGUUACGCUAAUACCGCAUAUUCUGUGAGCAGGAAAGAGGGGGAUCGCAAGGCCUCUCGCUUUCGGAGCGGCCGAUGUCGGCUUGGCUGUGUGUUGGGGUAAAGGCCUACCAAGGCGACGAUCCGUAGCGGGUCUGACAGGCUGAUCCGCCACACUGGAACUGGGACAAGGUCCAGUCUCCUACGGGAGGCAGCAGUGGGGAAUUGUGGACAAUGGGCGAAAGCCUGAUCCAGCCAUGCCGCGUGAGUGAAGAAGGCCUUCGGGUUGUAAAGCUCUUUCUGCUGAAAAGAAAUCGCACAGGCUCAUACCCUGUGUGGACGACGGUAUCAGCAUAAGAAGCACCGGCUAACCACGCGCCAGCCGCCGCCGUAA